AUUUUAAUAUAACUAAUUUUAAAAAUUAAUCCAAUAUAAUUGAAUUAAUUAAGUUACCAUAGGGAUAACAGCGUAAUAAAUUUUUAAAGAUCAUAUAUAAAAAUAUGUUUGCGACCUCGAUGUUGAAUUAAUAACCUAGUUGGAGCAAAGACUAAAUUAGGAAGUCUGUUCGACUUUUAAAAAAUUACAUGAUUUGAGUUCAGACCGGUAUAAGCCAGGUCGGUUUCUAUCUUCUUAAAAAUUUCUUAUAGUACGAAAGGGCCCAAGAAAAUAA
rnacentral:rRNA from 1 species